rnacentral:rRNA from 1 species
UACGGGGGGGGCAAGCGUUGUUCGGAAUUACUGGGCGUAAAGGGCUCGUAGGCGGCCAACUAAGUCGGAUGUGAAAUCCCCAAGCUUAACUUGGGAACUGCAUCCGAUACUGGAUGGCUUGAAUCCGGGAGAGGGAUGCAGAAUUCCAGGUGUAGCGGUGAAAUGCGUAGAUAUCUGGAGGAACACCGGUGGCGAAGGCGGUUCUCUGGGCCUUACCUGACGCUGAGGAGCGAAAGCGUGGGGAGCAAACAGG